rnacentral:rRNA from 1 species
AUGGUAAUGUUACUGUCUGCAAAGCUCGACUUGUCGCAAAAGGUUUUCGACAAGUUCAAAAAGUUGACUAUUUUCUCACCCGUAGCGAUGCUUAAGUCUGUCCGAAUCACGUUAGCAAUUACCACAUUUUAUGAUUAUGAAAUCUGGCAAAUGAACAUCAAAAUUGCAUUCUUUAAUGGAUAUCUUAAAGAAGAGUUGUAUAUGAUGCAACCAGAAGGUUUUGUUGAUCCCAAAGGUGCUGACAAAGUGUGCAAGCUCCAGCGAUCUAUCUACGGACUGGUGCAAGCAUCUCGGAGUUGGAAUAUACAUUUUGAUGAGGUGAUCAAAGCAUAUGGUUUUAUACAGACUUACGGUGAAGCCUGUAUUUACAAGAAAGUGAGUGGGAGCUCUAUAGCAUUUCUGAUAUUAUAUGUGGAUGACAUAUUGUUGAUUGGAAAUGAUAUAGAAUUUCUAGAUAGCAUAAAAGGAUAUUUGGAUAAGAAUUUUUUAAUGAAAGACCUCAGCAAAGCUACUUAUAUAUUGGGAAUCAAGAUCUACAGAGAUAGAUCAAGACGCUUAAUAAGAUUUUCACAAAGCACAUACCUUGAUAAAGUUUUGAAGAAGUCCAAAAUGGACCAGUCAAAGAAAGUGUUCUUGCCUGUGUUACAAGGUGUGAAAUUGAGUCGGACUCAAUGCCCGACCACUGCAGAAGAUAGAGAGAAAAUAAAAGUCAUUCCUUAUGCAUCAGCCAUAGGAUCUAUCAUGUAUGCUAUGUUGUGUACUAGACCUGAUGUGUGCCUUGCCAUAAGUCUGGCAGGGAGGUACCAAAGUAAUCCAAGAGUGGAUCACUGGACAGCGGUCAAGAACAUCCUGAAGUACCUGAAAAGGACCAAGGAUAUGUUUCUCAUUUAUGAAGGCGACGAAGAGCUCGUCGUAAAUGGUUACGUCGAUGCUAGUUUCGACAUUGAUCCGGAUGACUCUAAGUCACAAACCGGAUACGUAUUUAUAUUGAAUGGUGGAGCUGUCAGUAGGUGUAGUUCCAAGCAGAGCGUUGUGGCGGGAUCUAUGUGUGAAGCAGAGUGCAUAGCUGCUUCGGAAGCAACACAUGAAGGAGUCUGGAUGAAGGAGUUCAUAUCCGAUCUGGGUGUAAUACCCAGUGCAUCGGGUCCAAUGAAAAUCUUUUGUGACAACACCGGAGCAAUUGCCUUGCCGAAGGAAUCCAGGUUUUCAAGAGAACCAAAUACACCAAGAGACGCUUCAACUCCAUUCGUAGAAAGGUCAAGAAUGGAGACAUAA